UUUGCUGGCUUCCUUCAGUGGAUGGUCUGCUCCCCUUAAAUGCAUUAGCGGGAUCUCUUGUGGACCGUCACUUGGUGUGAUAAUUAUCUAUACCACUUGGCCUUGAAGCAAAUCUUAUGAGGACCCGCUCAUAACCGUCCCUCUGGGACAACUCUUGACAUUUUGACCUCAAAUCAGGUAGGACUACCCGCUGAACUUAA
rnacentral:misc_RNA from 1 species